rnacentral:rRNA from 1 species
AUUGAACGCUGGCGGCAGGCCUAACACAUGCAAGUCGAGCGGAUGAAGGGAGCUUGCUCCUGGAUUCAGCGGCGGACGGGUGAGUAAUGCCUAGGAAUCUGCCUGGUAGUGGGGGAUAACGUCCGGAAACGGGCGCGAAUACCGCAUACGUCCUGAGGGAGAAAGUGGGGGAGCUUCGGACCUCACGCUAUCAGAUGAGCCUAGGUCGGAUUAGCUAGUUGGUGGGGGAAAGGCCUACCAAGGCGACGAUCCGGAACUGGUCUGAGAGGAUGAUCAGUCACACUGGAACUGAGACACGGUCCCGACUCCUACGGGAGGCAGCAGUGGGGAAUAUUGGACCAUGGGCGAAAGCCUGAUCCAGCCCUGCCGCGUGUGUGAAGAAGGUCUUCGGAUUGUAAAGCACUUUAAGUUGGGAGGAAGGGCAGUAAGUUAAUACCUUGCUGUUUUGACGUUACCAACAGAAUAAGCACCGGCUAACUUCGUG